rnacentral:lncRNA from 1 species
GGUGGGACACACUUUUGUCACAGAUGCUAAUUGUUCAUAGCACAGAUGAGUACCCUGCAGACAUUUUGAUGACAUACUAUAGUCUGUCUACAGCAGGACAAUGGUAUAUGUUGUGGUGGUCAUAAUUAGCCCAGACCCUCAUGCAGCAGCUCUCUCACUCCCUCUCCUCAACAGGAUGAGGGGAGGAAAUAAAAUGGAAAAGCUUAUGGGUUGAGAUAAAGACAGGAAGAUCACUUACCAAUUACCAUCAUAGGUAAAAAAUCUUUACUUGGGGAAAAUUAUUUUAACUUAUGUUGGUUAAUGAGGAUGCAGCACCAGGAGCUUUACUACUGGUUGUAUCAUCCCGCUUCUGGCUGCAGAUAAGUAUUUGAGAAACUUAAAAUGGUGAAGUCACAUCUUCAUGGUGCCUGUUCCUUCUGCUAACUGCUUUCAAUUGCAAAUAUGCUUGCAACACAGAUGCAAAGUGUCAGUGCCUCUGACUGUAUUGUUGUUUUUCUAAAAAUAUUCCUGCCUAUCUGCUUUUGAGUUUUUUUUAUCAAAGUUCUGCAAUUUCUGAACACACCAAACACAGCCAUGGUGCUCCAAGACAGACAGUAUAAUCUAGUGACUGUCUCAGCGUUUUUGCUUUUCCAUUUGGGAGGUAUCUUGGCCUGACUCAAAGCUGCCAGUGUUGCUGAUGUUGUAUGAAUGGAGAGAAACAGACAAUAGAAAUGAAAUUAUUUUAUUUGCUACCUUCUCCCUUCUUGCUUUGUUCAUCUAGUUCUUGCAGAAUGAAACGAGAGAAGAGGGGAGAUGCAGAAGAAGAAAGAACACAGUUGCAUCAGCUGAGAUUCCAUGACUUCCAUCGGCUGGGACAACUGUGGCCUCAGGUUUCUCUAAAUGUAAGUUUACAUCCCUCGUAACCAGUAUAAAUGACAGCUCAUUGUUUCACCCAUCACUAAAAGGGAAGUGAAUACAGGAUUUCCUCGAGCCCUUGCAAAAGUUAAGAAGUUGAUAACCACUUAGUGGAGAGUUGAUCCUGUCGUGAAGGCAAGCAGUAGAGCUCUGGGGGAUUGGACUCCUGUUGUGAGCUCUGAGGACUACAAAAACAGCAGUAUAAGGAUAUUCUUUGAAUAAUUGCCCAGAAUAUAAAGCAUGAGGAAUGAAGAACUGGAGGGGGCACAAUGUGUGUGGAGAGGGAGAAUGAAAUCUUCAAUAAAUACUGCCUCUUUGAUAUUCA